ensembl:lncRNA
AGCGAUGCUGAUGCACCGCUGCAUCAUUCUGCCUCCUUCAAACCAGCUGUUUAUUUACCAGAGAGCUGCAGAAGUGUGUCACCUCCACUGUGUAAAGGUAGUCUGAGGUUAUAGACCGAUACUCCGAAGGAAACUAUAUAUUUUGUGAAUAAUAUGUACAUAAAUACAUAUAUCUGUAUGUAGUCAUAUUGUAUCAUGAUGUAUAUUUUACAGGGCCCCUGUGCGUUUCUGUUGGUGUGCAUUUCUUUUUGUACCAUGAAUUGAGAUGAAGAUUGUCUUCAGAUGUGCAGCCUGAGCAGGAGACGUGGCAGCAGGUGGAACCGCUGGCACGGGGACGUCAGUGUGUACCGGGGAGAGGAGCGCUCACGACUUACAACGAGACACCAGCUGCUCCCAGAUUUGCAAAGCAAAAUGAAGCUGCCAGCCUUCCAUCAACAUAUGGAGAAGUACAGAAGUUGCUGUGUCACCAGAGUGUUUUCC